CAAUAGCGUAUAUUAAAGUUGUUGCAGUUAAAAAGCUCGUAGUUGGAUCUCAGGGUGAGCUCAGUCGGUCGGCCUAAUUGGUCAGAACUGGCUGACUCUCCCUUGUUUCUGAAUCCGUUCCGGAGUUAAUUCUUCGGUUCUGGACUUCAGAUCGUUUACCUUGAAAAAUUAGAGUGUUCAAAGCGGGCGUUUGCUUGAAUACAUUAGCAUGGAAUAAUGGAAUAGGACCCUGGUUCUAUUUUGUUGGUUUUGAGGACCAGAGUAAUGAUUAAUAGGGAUAGUUGGGGGCAUUCAUAUUUAAUUGUCAGAGGUGAAAUUCUUGGAUUUAUGAAAGAUGAACUUCUGCGAAAGCAUUUGCCAAGGAUGUUUUCAUUAAUCAAGAACGAAAGUUAGGGGAUCGAAGACGAUUAGAUACCGU
rnacentral:rRNA from 1 species